GUCCUCGUAGUUUAAUGGAAGAACGGCCCCCUCCUAAGGGGUCGGUACAGGUUCGAUUCCUGUCGGGGACGCCA
rnacentral:tRNA from 1 species